AAUUUUAACAGUAAACUUUGUAACUAACUAAAAUGACACGUAAAUUUCAUAUCAUUACUUCGCCUCUACUCGUAGCUCUUGCAUGCCUUCUUCCCUCAUUGCAUCCACAAUAGGUUCCAUCAGAAUUAAAUUAAAGCUUGAAACAGCUUAAUGUAAAGUAACAAAUGAAAGUACUACCAACAAGAGUCGUAGUAGAGUGGUAAGCAGAGGCGGAUCCACGUGGAUUCUAGGGGAUUUGUUCAAAUCCCCUAAGCAAAAAAUUACACGACAUCUAUAAGAGGAAAAUUCUGGAUCCGUCACUGUGGUAAGUAUUCCUUCAUCCUUAACUAGAGAUUUCAAGUUUGCGUCCCUCUGAAUACGAAAUUGUCUUUGUUAGGAAGCCUUUUAACCCUAACGUGGGACUUCCCGAUGAACGAGUACUAUUCAGUGCAGGUUGUGGCUUGGGACACAAAUUUUGGACACCAACAAAUAACUUGUCGAACAUAUAAAACAUAUCAUGUCCAAUCUGUAACGCAAGUGGUCUAUGUAUUGCAACUUGCAAGUGUCAGUUAACUUA